AAAUCUGCUUAGAAUAUACUCCGAGGGAUCUUUGAUAUCAUCCAACUCUGAAGAUACAGUAAACUAGUUGCAACCGGAAUAUGACGCGUCGCACAUGUAUAUUUUAUACAUGGACACGUGCGUAUGUGCGCUAGAGUUUACGAGUGAGAUAAAUGAAAAUGUCGUUUCGAAAGCAAGAGAGAGAGAGAGAGAGAGAGAGAGAGAGAGAGAGAGAGAGCAGGAACGACGGUUAGAUAAAGAAGUUAAAAUGUCCUCCUCAUUUUUCAAUAAUAUUCGAGUUGAUAUAUCACAUAAAACGCAAACUCACAGAUGGCGCGAGAAUAUAACGUUUGUCAUUCUGCCAUUAUCGUCAUAAAGUGUGUGCGUAGAAGAAGGAUAAGAGAGGUAAAAAGAGGCUUCUACCGAGAUUAGAACAUUUGUUUUUACGCGAUAAGGGGUAUGCAUAAUCUUUAAGCUACUUGAAAAGAUGUGAAAAAAAAAAAAAACAGAAAUGUCUUCAGAUAAUGUUUCGAA